AACGUAGGACGCAAGCGUUAUCCGGAGUUACUGGGCGUAAAGCGCGUGCAGGCGGCCCGUUCAGUCUGAGGUGAAAGCGCCCGGCUCAACCGGGCGAGGCCCUUGGAAACUGGCGGGCUGGAGGGCAGUAGAGGCAGGCGGAAUUCCGGGUGGAGUGGUGAAAUGCGUAGAGAUCCGGAGGAACACCGGUGGCGAAGGCGGGUCUCUGGGCCGAUACUGACGCUGAGGAGCGAAAGCGUGGGGAGCGAACAGG
rnacentral:rRNA from 1 species